rnacentral:rRNA from 1 species
GAUGAACGCUGGCGGCGUGCCUAAUACAUGCAAGUCGAGCGAACAGAUGAGGAGCUUGCUCCUCUGACGUUAGCGGCGGACGGGUGAGUAACACGUGGAUAACCUACCUAUAAGACUGGGAUAACUUCGGGAAACCGGAGCUAAUACCGGAUAAUAUAUUGAACCGCAUGGUUCAAUAGUGAAAGACGGUUUUGCUGUCACUUAUAGUUGGAUCCGCGCCGCAUUAGCUAGUUGGUAAGGUAACGGCUUACCAAGGCAACGAUGCGUAGCCGACCUGAGAGGGUGAUCGGCCACACUGGAACUGAGACACGGUCCAGACUCCUACGGGAGGCAACAGUAGGGAAUCUUCCGCAAUGGGCGAAAGCCUGACGGAGCAACGCCGCGUGAGUGAUGAAGGUCUUCGGAUCGUAAAACUCUGUUAUUAGGGAAGAACAAAUGUGUAAGUAACUAUGCACGUCUUGACGGUACCUAAUCAGAAAGCCACGGCUAACUACGUG